GGGGGAUACAAUCAGAAAAGAAAAAACGCAAACAUAGCUGGAUUUGAGAAAGAAAGAGAAGGCAAUAAUUCUCUCUUCUUCUUCAUCGCAACAUUCUCCACCUUACUCCCCAAUUGUCCGUGUGCUACACACAAUCGGAAACCCCGCCAAUUCAACACCACUGGUCCCUGCUACCUCACUAUUCCACUCGUCAAUCCACCUUCAAACCCCAGUCGGACUCCCCCCGUUCGUUGA